GACGAACGCUGGCGGCGUGCUUAACACAUGCGAGUCGAACGGAAAGGCCUCUUUCGGGGGGUACUCGAGUGGCGAACGGGUGAGUAACACGUGAGUAACCUGCCCUUGACUUUGGGAUAACUUCAGGAAACUGGGGCUAAUACCGGAUAGGAGCUCCUGCUGCAUGGUGGGGGUUGGAAAGUUUCGGCGGUUGGGGAUGGACUCGCGGCUUAUCAGCUUGUUGGUGGGGUAGUGGCUUACCAAGGCUUUGACGGGUAGCCGACCUGAGAGGGUGACCGGCCACAUUGGGACUGAGAUACGGCCCAGACUCCUACGGAGGCAGCAGUGGGGAAUAUUGCACAAUGGGUGGAAGCCUGAUGCAGCAACGCCGUGUGCGGGAUGACGGCCUUCGGGUUGGAAACCGCUUUCGCUCAUGACGAAGCUUUGUGUGACGGUAGUGGGUAAAGAAGCACCGGCUAACUACGUG
rnacentral:rRNA from 1 species